AUGGCGGCCGAUGGCUCCGAGCGCCACACGGCGCAGGUGGUGGGCGCUGACGGAGAGAUGGACGGCCCCGCGCUGGAGCGGUUCGCGGCGGCGGCGGGGCUCGUGCAGCGCGGCCUCUCCUACGCCGUCGUCUCCAUCUUUGGCCCCCAGGGCAGCGGGAAAAGCACCCUGCUCAACCAUCUCUUCGGGACAAGCUUCACCGAGAUGGAUGCCUUGAAAGGAAGGAAUCAGACCACCAAGGGAAUUUGGGUUGCCGAAGCUGUUGGCAUCGAGCCGUUCACUCUUGUGAUGGAUUUGGAGGGGACGGAUGGGAGAGAAAGAGGGGAGGAUGAUACAGCCUUUGAGAAGCAGAGUGCCCUUUUCGCUCUUGCAGUUUCUGAUAUUGUAAUGAUAAAUUUGUGGUGUCAUGACAUAGGCCGAGAACAGGCGGCUAACAGGCCUCUUUUGAAAACUAUAUUUGAGGUUUUGAUGCGUUUAUUCAGCCCCCGGAAAACGAUGCUACUGCUUGUGAUCCGCGAUAAAACAAAGACUCCCGUAGAGUAUCUUGCCCAGGCUCUAAAGGAGGAUAUCCACAAGAUAUGGGAUUCUGUUCCCAAACCAGAAGUCUUCAAGAAAGCUGCGCUAAGCGAAUUCUUCAAUGUGGAGGUCACCGCUUUGCCAAGUUAUGAAGAGAACGAAGAACUAUUUAAGGAGCAGGUUGGGAAACUCAGGCACAAGUUUAUUCAUUCAAUCGAUCCCGGUGGUUUAGCAGCUGAUAGAAGGGGUGUCAUACCUGCUUCAGGUUUCUGUAUUAGCGCAAUGCAUAUCUGGAAAGUAAUACGAGAAAAUAAGGACCUUAACCUUCCCGCCCACAAGAUCAUGGUUGCUACUGUUCGUUGUGAAGAGAUUGCGGAUGAAAAGCUUAGAUGUUUUAUGUUGGAUGAGGGUUGGUUGGAGCUGGAGGCAGCUGUAACAUCCGGUCCAGUACGAAGCUUUGGCAUGAAGCUUAGCGACAUUAUUGAUUUUUAUCUAUUAGACUAUGACAUGGAAACCAUGUACUUCGACGAAGGUGUGAGAACUGUCAAACGUCAACAGUUACAAUCUGAAAUUGUAAAUCACACGCACCCUGCUUUUGAGACAGUGAUAGAACACCUGCAUUGCACGGUCCUCGGUAAAUUCAAAAACGAUCUAGAACAAUUAUUGAGGAGUGGUGAGAGAUUUGCAGCAUCAGCUCGUCAUUGUGCCCAGUCUUCAUCAGUAGAGUUUGAGGCAGGAUGGAGAGAUGCAGUAGUUAAACAUGCAGACUGGGAUGGGACAAAUAGCAGGAACAAACUGCAGCAGAGUAUGGAAGUUCAUACAGCAUGUUUGAGGAUUGCAAAAUUGGAUGAACUAAAAGCUACUUAUAAGAAGAAGCUCUUGGAUGCACUUUCUGGACCUGUACAAUCAAUCCUGGAAACUGGCGAGCGAGACUCUUGGGCAUCUAUUAGGAGAUUAUAUAGGCGUGAGACCGAACAUAUUAUAUUGACAUUUUCAGAUUCCCUUUCCGAGUAUGAACUAGAUCAGACAACUUCUGUUGAAAUGGUCUUAGAAUUAAGGGAACAUGCAAGAUGUACAGUAGUAAAGAAAGCUCGAGAAGAAGCUGGAAACAUCCUUAUUCGUAUGAAAGGAAGGUUUUCAACUGUGUUGAGCCAUGAUAAAGAUUUGAUGCCAAGGACAUGGAUAGCAAAUGAAGAUAUACAUGCAAUCACCCGAGAAGCACGCUUAGCGGCGUUAAGGCUUAUGUCGGUAAUGGCAGCUGUACGGUUGGAUGAUAAACCAGAUAAAAUAGACCGGGCUCUGAUGGUUUCUCUUCUAGAUGGAGGACCACUUUGCUGGAAGAGGAGCAUCGAGUUCACUUCUGAUCCACUAGCUUCAACCACAUGGCAAGAGGUGUCACCACAGGAUACACUAAUCACACCAGUGCAGUGUAAAUCCAUCUGGAGGCAAUUCAAAGCUGAGACGGAGUAUCCUGUUGCACAAGCAAUUUUGAUGCAGGAAGCACACAGACGUAGUAAUAAUUCAUUACCACCUGCGUGGACCAUUCUUGUUCUUGCAAUACUUGGAUUCAACGAAUUUAUGUUUCUUCUUAGGAACCCUGUAUAUAUUCUGGGGCUCUUUCUCGCUUUUGUUCUAUCCUAUGCUGUAUGGUUGCAAUACGACAUUUGGGCUUAUUUCCGUCACGGCACUGUGUCUGGACUUAUCACUAUUUCGUCAAGUCUCCUCCCCACUAUCAUGGAUAUCGUAACGGCGAUCAUCAACAUGAGCCACAGGAAGAAGCAUUCCUUGCACCGGUCUCGCCGAGCCCUGCCAUACCAUGCUCAAAGCUUGAGCAACCAGUCGCAUCAACACGCUGAAGUGCACUAUCAUGCUUCUCCAGACACGCCGUCCUCAGUGGACUCAAGCAGUGGCAGUGACUCUUGA
rnacentral:rRNA from 1 species